rnacentral:lncRNA from 1 species
GCGGACACUUAAGGAACUGAGCCACCCAGGUGCCCUACAUGUUGCUCUUGUAGCAACUCUCAGGAGACGGACGGUGAGCAGAGCUUCGUGGGCAAAGAUGAGGGCUCUCCUUCCGCAGCCUGCCCAGGUGGCUGGUCUCUAGCUGGAGCUGCUCUGUAGGCAGUGGGCGGUUUUUACGCCCUGCCUCCCAUGACCUGUUGGGGCUGAUCUUGGAAUACCCCAGGGUCUCGGCAUGGCUUAUGUCCACCCCAUCUGUGGUUAGACUGUGAUGGGUAGCAUGCUGUGAAGCGCUUCUCCAGAGCAGAGAUGGUCUGAACAAGUCACCUUGCUCAGUUUUUCUUGGGUUUCAGAGGUUAAAGGUUUGAUGCUAAAAAAAGCAAAGGGGCUUCUUGGCUGCCCAAUCCAAAUGUCUUCCAGGUCCCUUCUGAACCAUGAAGUCCCCGGGACCCCUGUCUGUUGGAGACCCUCCGUGGUGGCCCCCAGGACCGCUGGCUCCUGCAGCCUCAGGAAUGUCCCACAUCCCUUGUCCCCUCCUGAUUGAGUAGUUUGGUCCCUCCUACUUCUGUAAAUUCUCAAUGCCUUGCCUCCCACGCCAGAGACUGCCUGUGAUUUGGCCAAAAGCCAGCAGACCAAGGAUGUUGACUUUCUGCUCUCCAAACAAAAGGUCCUCUAGUUACCAGGAUCUGCCCUCAUUAGCAGGCACAAGGGAUUAUUAACAUUUUUUUUUCUUUUCACAGAAUCAUCAGCAAAUCCUGCCAGAUUUGAAGCCUCAGUAGUAUUCCUCCUCUCCUUCCAGAUGGACCCAGACCGGGCCGGGUUUCAGCAGCUAAGGAGUGUCCCCAUGUGUGCCCGUCAGAAGGUUGAGGGACCCUCCUCCUGCUGCCUGUAUCCUGUGCCGCUGACUUCUUACCAUGACCUGCAGCACAGUGAGUCUGUGUCUGACCCCCGCCAGGGCUCUGUGAACAGCUCCGAAGACAAGGGCCAUGACUUGGUCAGGGCUGCGUCCUGGCUUCUAGCAGGGGCCCAGGGAAAUGGAUGAAUGAGUGAAGGUUCCAGUGAAUACAUGUAAAAAGUGAACGAAAU